UGGGGUAUCGCCAAGCGGUAAGGCACCGGAUUCUGAUUCCGGCAUUCCGAGGUU
rnacentral:tRNA from 1 species